rnacentral:tRNA from 1 species
GUGGGUGUAGCUCAGUUGGUAGAGCACUGGUUUGUGGUACCGGUGGUCGCGGGUUCAAGUCCCGUCACUCACCCCA